rnacentral:rRNA from 1 species
AUUGAACGCUGGCGGCAGGCCUAACACAUGCAAGUCGAACGAGUGGCGGACGGGUGAGUAAUGUAUGGGAAACUGCCCGAUGGAGGGGGAUAACUACUGGAAACGGUGGCUAAUACCGCAUACCAUCGGAUGUGCCCAGAUGGGAUUAGCUAGUAGGUGGGGUAAAGGCUCACCUAGGCGACGAUCCCUAGCUGGUCUGAGAGGAUGAGCAGACACACUGGAACGGAGACACGGCCCAGACUCCUACGGGAGGCAGCAGUGGGGAAUAGUGCACAAUGGGCGCAAGCCUGAUACAGCCAUGCCGGGUGUAUGAAGAAGGCCUUCGGGUUGUAAAGCACUUUCAGCGAGGAGGCGUUACUCGCAGAAGAAGCACCGGCUAACUCCGUGCCAGCAGCCGCGGUAAUAC